CUGGGUUCAGAACGUCGUGAGACAGUUCGGUCCCUAUCCGUCGUGGGCGUAGGAAAUUUGAGAGGAGCUGUCCUUAGUACGAGAGGACCGGGAUGGACGCACCGCUGGUGUACCAGUUGUUCUGCCAAGGGCAUAGCUGGGUAGCUAUGUGCGGAAGGGAUAAGUGCUGAAAGCAUCUAAGCAUGAAGCCCCCCUCAAGAUGAGAUUUCCCAUAGCGUAAGCUAGUAAGAUCCCUGAAAGAUGAUCAGGUUGAUAGGUUCGAGGUGGAAGCAUGGUGACAUGUGGAGCUGACGAAUACUAAUAGAUCGAGGACUUAACCAUAUAA
rnacentral:rRNA from 1 species